AUUGCCCUGCGUGGUGGGGGAGCCGCAAGGCUCGCAGGUUCGUACGAUCCCUGUCUGUCAACCCGACUACGUGCCCGC
rnacentral:antisense_RNA from 1 species